rnacentral:rRNA from 1 species
ACGCUCGACACCUACGGGAAGCAGCAGUGGGGAAUAUUGCACAAUGGGGGAAACCCUGAUGCAGCGACGCCGCGUGAAGGAAGAAGUAUUUCGGUAUGUAAACUUCUAUCAGCAGGGAAGAAACUGACGGUACCUGACUAAGAAGCACCGGCUAAAUACGUGCCAGCAGCCGCGGUAAUCUGAGCGGGCUGGCAAGGC